rnacentral:rRNA from 1 species
GACAGAGGGUGCAAACGUUGUUCGGAAUUACUGGGCGUAAAGCGCGUGUAGGCGGUUCGUAAAGUCGGAUGUGAAAGCCCUGGGCUUAACCCAGGAAGUGCAUUCGAAACUCACGAACUUGAGUCCCGGAGAGGAAGGCGGAAUUCUCGGUGUAGAGGUGAAAUUCGUAGAUAUCGAGAGGAACAUCUGUGGCGAAGGCGGCCUUCUGGACGGUGACUGACGCUGAGGUGCGAAAGCGUGGGUAGCAAACAGG